CUUGCUCUCUGGAUCAGUGGCGAACGGGUGAGUAACACGUGAGCAAUCUGCCCCUGACUCUGGGAUAAGCGCUGGAAACGGCGUCUAAUACCGGAUACGAGCUGCGAAGGCAUCUUCAGCAGCUGGAAAGAACUUCGGUCAGGGAUGAGCUCGCGGCCUAUCAGCUAGUUGGUGAGGUAAUGGCUCACCAAGGCGUCGACGGGUAGCCGGCCUGAGAGGGUGACCGGCCACACUGGGACUGAGACACGGCCCAGACUCCUACGGGAGGCAGCAGUGGGGAAUAUUGCACAAUGGGCGCAAGCCUGAUGCAGCAACGCCGCGUGAGGGACGACGGCCUUCGGGUUGUAAACCUCUUUUAGCAGGGAAGAAGCGAAAGUGACGGUACCUGCAGAAAAAGCGCCGGCUAACUACGUGCCAGCAGCCGCGGUAAUACGUAGGGCGCAAGCGUUAUCCGGAAUUAUUGGGCGUAAAGAGCUCGUAGGCGGUUUGUCGCGUCUGCUGUGA
rnacentral:rRNA from 1 species